rnacentral:lncRNA from 1 species
ACCUCACCUUCAAUGAUUUCCUCUUUCACUUUCUGCAAUUCCUUCUUCACCUCUUCCAGAAGCUCCCCCCCAAGUUACCUGUUUCACCCUCUGUAGGUCCGAGUAAUCACUGGAGCUGGGCGUGCAGGGUUGGGUCUCGGAAGUGGUCACCGAAGAAGACGACUUCAUCCUCUCCUAUUCCAGGGGUCACAUUGAGCUCUGCCUUAUAAAUUGGGCUGGAGUGCAGGCAUGAUGAUGGCUCGCUGAG